rnacentral:rRNA from 1 species
ACUACGGGAGGCAGCAGUGGGGAAUAUUGGGCAAUGGGCGCAAGCCUGACCCAGCAACGCCGCGUGAAGGAAGAAGGCUUUCGGGUUGUAAACUUCUUUUCUCAGGGACGAAGAAAGUGACGGUACCUGAGGAAUAAGCCACGGCUAACUACGUGCCAGCAGCCGCAGUAAUACGUAGGUGGCAAUCGUUAUUCGGAUUUAUUGGGUGUAAAGGGCGUGUAGGCGGGAGCGCAAGUCAGAUGUGAAAACUCAGGGCUCAACCCUGAGCCUGCAUUUGAAACUGUGUUUCUUGAGUGCUGGAGAGGGAAUCGGAAUUCCGGGUGUAGCGGUGAAAUGCGUAGAUAUACGGAGGAACACCAGUGGCGAAGGCGGAUUGCUGGACAGUAACUGACGCUGAGGCGCGAAAGCGUGGGGAGCAAACAGGAUUAGAUACCCUUGUAGUC